rnacentral:lncRNA from 1 species
AUGCUUUGUUCUUGUUUUUGUUGGCAUUAUUGGGUAUUUUACUUUAGAGUAUUUGAAUCAUUAUCAUGCCAGCUCAAAUAUGCAUGUAGACAGUUAGGGGUUUUUUGUUUUUUGUUUUUUUUUUUCACUAGUAUUUUUUUAUGCUAUUGUGAAUGGGACUGGUUUUAAUUAUUUUUUCAGGUAGUUUGUUUUUAGGGUAAAGAGACACUGUUGACUUUUAUGUGUUGAUUUUGCUGAAUUUGUUUAUCACUUCUAACAGCUUUUUGGUGGAGUAGUUAAGGUUUCAAUAUACUGUAAGUUCAUGGCAUCUGCAAACAGAGACAAUUUAACUUCUUCCUUUUUUUUUUUUUUUU